UGGGUAUAGAACAGGAUUAGAUACCCUGGUAGUCCACGCAGUAAACGAUGAAUACUAACUGUUUGCGAUACAAUGUAAGCGGUACAGCGAAAGCGUUAAGUAUUCCACCUGGGGAGUACGCCGGCAACGGUGAAACUCAAAGGAAUUGACGGGGGCCCGCACAAGCGGAGGAACAUGUGGUUUAAUUCGAUGAUACGCGAGGAACCUUACCUGGGUUUAAAUGGGAAAUGCCGUAUUUGGAAACAGAUAUUCUCUUCGGAGCGUUUUUCAAGGUGCUGCAUGGUUGUCGUCAGCUCGUGCCGUGAGGUGUCGGCUUAAGUGCCAUAACGAGCGCAACCCUUAUCGAUAGUUACCAUCAGGUUAUGCUGGGGACUCUGUCGAGACUGCCGUCGUAAGAUGUGAGGAAGGUGGGGAUGACGUCAAAUCAGCACGGCCCUUACGUCCGGGGCUACACACGUGUUACAAUGGGGGGUACAGAAGGCAGCUACACAGCGAUGUGAUGCUAAUCCCAAAAGCCUCUCUCAGUUCGGAUUGGAGUCUGCAACCCGACUCCAUGAAGCUGGAUUCGCUAGUAAUCGCGCAUCAGCCACGGCGCGGUGAAUACGUUCCCGGGCCUUGUACACACCGCCCGUCAAGCCAUGGGAGCCGGGGGUACCUGAAGUGCGUAACCGCAAGGAGCGCCCUAGGGUAAAACUGGUGACUGGGGCUAAGUCGUAACAAGGUAGCCGUACCGGAAGGUGCGGCUG
rnacentral:rRNA from 1 species